GCGUUCGCUUUGGCAGCACAUAUACUAAAAUUGGAACAAUACAGAGAAGAUUGGGAUGAUCCAACACAAGGACGACAUGCAAAUUUGUGAAAUGUUCGUAAUUUUU